GGGUAUAGCUCAGCUGGGAGAGCGCUUGCAUGGCAUGCAAGAGGUCAGCGGUUCGAUCCCGCUUACCU
rnacentral:tRNA from 2 species